rnacentral:rRNA from 1 species
AACGAACGCUGGCGGCAUGCCUAACACAUGCAAGUCGAACGAUUGCCUUCGGGUGAUAGUGGCGCAUGGGUGCGUAACGCGUGGGAAUCUGCCCUUAGGUUCGGAAUAACAGCUGGAAACGGCUGCUAAUACCGGAUGAUAUCGCGAGAUCAAAGAUUUAUCGCCUGAGGAUGAGCCCGCGUUAGAUUAGGUAGUUGGUGGGGUAAAGGCCUACCAAGCCGACGAUCCAUAGCUGGUCUGAGAGGAGGAUCAGCCCCACUGGGACUGAGACACGGCCCAGAAUCCUACGGGGGGCAGGAGUGGGGAAUAUUUGAGGAUGAGCGCAAGCCUGAUCCAGCAAUGCCGCGUGAGUGAUGAAGGCCCUAGGGUUGUAAAGCCCGUUUACCCGAGGAGAUAGUGACUGUACCGGGUGAAUAAGCCCCGGCUAACUCCGUG